rnacentral:rRNA from 1 species
GACGAACGCUGGCGGCGUGCUUAACACAUGCAAGUCGAACGGUGAACCAGAGCUUGCUCUGGGGAUCAGUGGCGAACGGGUGAGUAACACGUGGGCAACCUGCCCCAGACGUCUGGGAUUAACCUCGGGGAAACCGAUGCCUAAUACCGGAUACGACCACUUCGGACAUCCGACGGUGGUGGAAAGUUUUUCGGUCUGGGAUGGGCCCGCGGCCUAUCAGCUAGUUGGUGGGGUAAUGGCCUACCAAGGCGACGACGGGUAGCCGGCCUGAGAGGCGACCGGCCACACUGGAACUCGAGACACGGUCCAGACUCCUACGGGAGGCAGCAGUGAGGAAUAUU